UGUGGUACAGAUGGAAGCCUUUCAAAGCCUUUGCAUUUUCCUCUUCAGCCUCCUCUCCCCAGGCUUUUCGGUCUGUCUGGUGCCUGUUCCUUCCAGCCCCCCCUUGCCCCCCGUUGGGCAGCAUAUGUCUUUAAAUUAUUUCAACAGACACCGCCUAGGAAGCAGCUCCAGUCUUGAAAGACUUUCAAGGGGAGGCAAAACAAAGGCACAUGCCUACGCCAAUCCCUCAAGAAGCUACCAGGCAGAUCAAAAGGUACAACCACAGUUCUUUGAGAACAAAGGCUCUGUUACCCUUUCUUCCUCCAGCAAAACACACCAAAAAUGCAGGCCACUGUUCCUGCACCCACCACUGAGCUGGGGAGAAGGAAACGGUAAGCAGGUUGCAAUUUUGGUGCCAUAUCUAAGCACACUGUACCUAACCCAAGACUCAAGGAAAUGAAGGUGCAGGAGAUUAAACAACUUGCUCAGGAUCAUUGGGUUGGGAACACGGGUUCUAUCCCUCGUUGGAGACCUAGGAUCCCACAUGCCGCAGAGCAAAUAAGCCGACACACCACCAUUACUGAGCCCGUGGGCCACAACAAAAGACCCCGCAUGCCACGACUAGGAGCUGACCCAGCUAAAGGUAUAUAUACAUAUAUACAUAAAAGAACGUAUCGCGGCCAAGAGAAACUUGAGGCUCCCUGAGGCUGUGUUAAUAGAGGGGUGGUGCCCAGAGCGAGGGAGGUGAGUCUCACUGCAGAGGCCAUACCUGCAGUCUAUGUCCAGUUCAUUUUAAGAACACUGGUGAACUGGAGUAUAUUCAAAGAGGCACCCAAGAUGUUGGGGGGCAGGGGUGUGAAGAGGGUCUGAAAACCACCGGAAAGCAGAGGUAUUUAGCUUGAAAAAGGGAAGAUUCAGGGUGGAGGAUGUGAGAGCUGACCUUUAGUUCCAGACCACGGCAGUCACAGUUGCCUAAUUAAAGUAGAUGGUGAGCUUCCGGUCGCCGGUGGUAUGCAAACCAAGGCAUGGCCACCUGUUGAUGUGGGCGCAUGGUCGGAUUGAUUGAACGUGUGGUUGGACCACAGGGCCAUGGAGGCUCCUUUCAUGUUGAGUGUCUGUGGGGCUCUGAUUUUUGGAAAGACGUGGGAGGGCUUACGCUAGAAGGAGAGUGUCCUGAAUUGAAUGUCUGUAUCUCUCUGAAAUUCACGUGUGGUGGCCCUAACCCGUGCAUCGGUAUGGAAGUCAUUAAGGACUGGACUGUUGUCCUUCCAAGAAGAGAUGCCAGGAAGCUCCUCCUCUCUCCCUCUCUCCAUGGGCACCAAGGAAAGGCCAUGUGAGGACCCAGGGAGAAGGCAGCUCUCUGCAAGCAAGGAAGUGGGUUCUCGCCAGGAGCUGAAUGGGUUGGCACCUCGAGCUUGGACU